UAAAAGCAACAAAGGAAAAAACAAAGAAGAAAAAAUGUUGCUAAAUAUAUAUUUCCCCAAGUUCUUUUUUACUGUAAUCUAGUGAUUUAUUUUU
rnacentral:ribozyme from 1 species